GACGAACGCUGGCGGCGUGCUUAACACAUGCAAGUCGAACGGUAAGGCCCUGCUUUUGUGGGGUGCUCGAGUGGCGAACGGGUGAGUAACACGUGAGUAACCUGCCCUUGACUUUGGGAUAACUUCAGGAAACUGGGGCUAAUACCGGAUAGGAGCUCCUGCUGCAUGGUGGGGGUUGGAAAGUUUCGGCGGUUGGGGAUGGACUCGCGGCUUAUCAGCUUGUUGGUGGGGUAGUGGCUUACCAAGGCUUUGACGGGUAGCCGGCCUGAGAGGGUGACCGGCCACAUUGGGACUGAGAUACGGCCCAGACUCCUACGGGAGGCAGCAGUGGGGAAUAUUGCACAAUGGGCGGAAGCCUGAUGCAGCAACGCCGCGUGCGGGAUGACGGCCUUCGGGUUGUAAACCGCUUUCGCCUGUGACGAAGCGUGAGUGACGGUAAUGGGUAAAGAAGCACCGGCUAACUACAUG
rnacentral:rRNA from 1 species